AUUGAACGCUGGCGGCAGGCCUAACACAUGCAAGUCGAACGAGUGGCGGACGGGUGAGUAAUGUCUGGGAAACUGCCUGAUGGAGGGGGAUAACUACUGGAAACGGUAGCUAAUACCGCAUACCAUCGGAUGUUCCCAGCGGGGAUUAGCUAGUAGGUGGGGUAACGGCUCACCUAGGCGACGAUCCCUAGCUGGUCUGCGAGGAUGACCAGCCACACUGGAACUGAGACACGGUCCAGACUCCUAAGGGAGGCAGCAGUGGGGAAUAUUGCACAAUGGGCGCAAUGCUGAUGCAGCCAAGCCGCGUGUAUGAAGAAGGCCUUCGGGUUGUAAAGGACUUUCAGCGGGGAGGCGGUACCCGCAGAAGAAGCACCGGCUAACUCCGUGCCAGCAGCCGCGGUAAUUC
rnacentral:rRNA from 1 species